ensembl:lncRNA
GCUUUUGCACUCUGAAGUACUCAUGCACCUUCUGCCGGGCCGCAUUCUGCACACUUGAAAUCCUGCAGGAGAGCCCAAGAACCGUGGUUAAUUUCAAAAUAAACUCUUUCUUCCCCUUCAAGCCAUGAUGUGAGACAAAGGCUAGGAGUGGUCAUUUGUCUAGCUGGGAUCCUUGUGACCUGGGGAAAGUUUCUUCACCUCUCUAGGACUCAGUCUUCACAUGUGUAAAAUGGGAUUCACAAUAGUGCCUACUUAUAGGUGGAAGGCCAACAAGAAAGCACACCCGGUAGUCAGAACAGUGCUGGGCACAGCAUCCACUCAGUACACGCUAUGAGGGUUGUUGUUUGAAGAAUUUAUUUUCCCCUUUUCCUAGCCAGCCCAGAGCCCUCAGAGGAAGCCUUCAGCGGGCUGAGUAGAUUAUCUUAAGCUCAACCCCUUCCUUGCCUGCCUCCAAGGAUACAGAUGCAGGUUAGAAGGUGUCUCAGAGGGGCUGUGGCCUUUGAGGUUUCCAGGGAUCCAACAGGGAAACUUCCGCUGCAGAGCAGCUCUAGGCCCUCCAGCGCUGACCCACCAAAUUGCGCUGCAUCAAUGUGCUUGGCUGAGCUGUUAUGUGGCCCUGGCAUGGCUCUGAAGGCCGUCUGAGAAUCCCAAUCCGUCUAGAAGGAUCCUUGGAAUUAAGCCAACUGGGGAUGAGGGCAAAGCGAGGUGGUUGGGAUGGGUCCCAGGGGCAGGGGCCUCCCUGUGCUACUGCUGAGUGGGCAGCAGCUUUGGACUCUGAGAAGGGGUCAUUUUGCUGGUGCUAAGGCUGGGAGCUUAUUCUGAUGCUGCGGACUCUCCAACUGGCCUUUCAUCUGCAGCCCCCAAGCUCAGGCUUCCCAGAAUGACCAUCUUCUGGGACUGGCACCAAGAACUGGCUCUGUGCUGCAGUUAGAGAGAGACCCUGCUGGUCCCUGCUCGCUUCUUCAACAUCUCAGCAGCUCAAGGCGAGGCUUCUGGCUGCCAUUCGUGACUGGGGCCCGGGUUAAGAAGCUUAGGACACUAUCUUCAAGACAAACGUGAAGUAAACUUGGGUGAUGACUACACUUGACCUGUGUAAAGCCAGCAAAAGUACCAACUGGAAGGGGACAGUAGGCUGGGCUGGAGGCAGCUCCCAGCUUGGGGACUGCUCCAAGUAGAAUGUGGGGCUUGUGAAUGAUUCUUUCCACUCACAUGCACCAAGCCUUAGGCUCCAUUACAUUUCUCUCUACAGAGAGACCAAUGAUUCAUUCUUGUUUCCAGGGAGCUUGCAGUCUAGUAAGAGAAACUACAUACAUAAGUUAUGGUUGAAUGUCGAAGAGGCAAUUACAAAUGGGCAUAUUUUUCAGUUUUAUUCUAGCUAUUCAGUGCAUUAAGUCAGAUAGUAUCAUUACCCUAAAGAUAAGAAAACCAAGGCAUAAAUGCAAUAGCAAUAUUGGCACUAAGUCCCCACUAUAUAAAUGUUUUAAGCUAAGUGCUUACGUAGCAAGACUACUACCGUAUGUGCGUGUGGUGGGAGGUCUAUAUUAUGUUCACACAAAUGUUUUUUAGUGAGUGCCUUGGGUUUCAGGCACUGUUUACAUAC